rnacentral:rRNA from 1 species
GUAGGUGGCAAGCGUUGCCCGGAAUUAUUGGGCGUAAAGCGCGCGCAGGCGGUCCUUUAAGUCUGAUGUGAAAGCCCACGGGCUCAACCGUGGAGGGUCAUUGGGAACUGGGGGACUUGAGUACAGAAGAGGAAAGCGGAAUUCCAAGUGUAGCGGUGAAAUGCGUAGAGAUCUGGAGGAACACCAGUGGCGAAGGCGGCUUUCUGGUCUGUAACUGACGCUGAGGCGCGAAAGCGUGGGGAGCAAACAGGAUUAGAUACCCUGGUAGUCCACGCCGUAAACGAUGAGUGCUAAGUGUUAGGGGGUUUCCGCCCCUUAGUGCUGCAGCUAACGCAUUAAGCACUCCGCCUGGGGAGUACGGCCGCAAAGGCUG